rnacentral:lncRNA from 1 species
UCAGAAUUAGAUAACAAGUCAAAUGUUCAGAAUCCUUCUCUUAUCCUCUACACACCAUCUUCUUCCAUCCCAUCACACCAUGUAGGGUUAAAAACACCCACCAUCCCUACACACCAUAUAGUGUUGAUGCGACAAUAACAGAUAAUAUGCAGUCAAGCUACCAGAAUAUAGGCGACAAGUCGCCAUACAGAUCACUUCCUCCACAUAUACAAAUUUCACCCC